CACAUCUGUAAGCCGCUGGCUGUAUUCACACAGAAGAGACAGAGAUUCUGGCCUCUGAGGUGGAAAAGAUCCAGGAGAGGAGAGAGCUGUGUGUGAAGCAAGACAAGCAAGAUCCAACCACUGGCAGGUUCUCUGUGAGGAAUUAGAGAAUGAGGAGAGAGGAGGAAGGGAAACACCCAUGGGGUUGAGAGCUAGCAAGUGCACAUCUCAAAAAGUUUCCAAUGAUACUGGUGAGACCGGCCUCAAGACCAGAGAGACACUGUCCUGACCCUGAAGAAGCCCACAGUCCUGUGAUGGAACAGGCAUGCAUAGCGGUGGUCUAGAGAAACUGGCAGGAACAACUCUGGAAGGGUUUUCUGCCACCACAGGAAGGUCCAUGAAAUCCUUGAUUGAUGGGUCCCUGAUUGGUCAGAGGAAGCUUGCAGAGGAGGUGAUCCUGGAGCCAGAACAUGACAGCCAUGCAAGAUGGGGGCAAGAAAGAGGGCAGUUCAACCGUGCCAAGAUGUGAAACUGUAAAUCCACUGGCAUCUCCCGACAAGACCUCGUUGCUAAUAUUGUUUAGUACAAGAAACAGUGAGAGUUUACAUUGGUGAGGCAGAUGAGGGACAUCGUAUGGAAAAAUUAAGAGAUGUGGACAUUGACCUGAAAG
ensembl:lncRNA